GCAUCAGUAGUGCGACGGGUUAAAGCAUACGUUCUCGGACAGAGUGAGGUGUGGGUUCAAAUCCCGCCUGACGCG